UACAAGCCACUGUGUUAUAGGAUGUCAUGUCACUAAGAGAAUAACCAAAUCACCCUCAUUCACUCAUGCCCAUUCUCACACUUCUUUCCAAGAUCAGCAGUAACUGAGAGUGGGAGAGGAACAGAUUCUUGAUCAUUUUCAUCUGAAGCCAAAAUAAAAAUAGCCCCAAGGUCAGUAGAAAAAUUAAGUGGCUUCACAAAACAACACAUUAGAAAAAAAUACCACUGGGAGUUUCAGACACUGGAAAGUAUUUUUUAAAAAGACAUUUCUUCCAGGUUUCCUGUUUACUUAGAAGAAGAAGAAGAAGAAGAAGAAGAAGAAGAAGAAGAAGAAGAAAGAAAGAAAGAAAGAAAGAAAGAAAGAAAGAAAGAAAGAAAGAAAGAGUAUUUGAAUUAUUUUCACCGUGUUUCAAAUCUCCGCUUCUUAUCUUGGCCUUACUAUGUUUUUAUUUGUAUAUUUAGAGAGAUCUUAGCAGGAGCAAAUUUGUUAUUCUAAAGCAGUCUACAGAUGUACACUCACACAGCAUAGCGAAAUCACAAUUUUAUGCAGGUUUUUUUUUCUUCUUAGAUUUUGCAGUUCUUAAAGGAAAAUGUGGAAGCAGUCACAACUGCUAUUAGAGAAGUCCAAGGAAAAGGAGCACAACAUGGUGAUCAACCUUGGCAGUCCCUACAUACAGCGUGAUUAUGUUGUAAUACUGUUUGAUGCAGUCGUAUGUUUGAUCAGUUUCAAGAGAUGAAUAUCACCUCACUUCAAACAAUAUGAUACAGUCUCAUUGUAUGGAAUUAUGGCUGCUGUCAAUCAGCAUAUGGCAUAACCCUUAAAGUGCCAUCUUUGGGGAAUGUCAUAAAAAUGAUUGCAACACUGGCAUUAAUUAGGAAGUUUUUACACGAAAACCAAGCAUAACCUGUUAAGACAAUUUAUCUGUUGUAUCUCUGUUCAUUUUUGCUAUCAUAAAAACAUGUAUAUAACCCAUACGUGCAUACACUCAGCUUAUUAGCUCAAGUUAUUAGAACAGCCAUGCUAAUAACAAUGAAAUCAUAAGAAUGAAUCCCCCCCAUUCCCUUGUGGAUCAGUAAGCUAUACUUUCUAUAUUUUGUUUAAGGGUCUCCAAAUAUACCCCUAACUUGAACCAACUAUUCCCUUUUUUUCUAAAAUUUAUUUAUUUAUUUAUUCUUGAGAUAGAGAGAGAGAAAGAGAGAGAGACAGGGAGAAAGAGAGCAUGAGAGAGAGCAUGAGAGAGACAGCAUGAGAGGGGAGGGGCAGAAAGAGAAGGAGACAGAGAAUCCCAAGCAGGCUCCGCACUGUCAGUGCAGAGCCCGAUGCAGGGCUCGAAUUCACAAUGAAAUCAUGACCUGAGCUGAAAUUAAGAGUCAGAUUCUUAAAUGACUGAAGCACUCAGAUGCCCCUUGAGCCAAUUAUCCUAUCAAAAUGAGGGGUGGGUGCACAGUAAGGGCAAACAUUAAAUUACCACUAGGUCUAUGUUCUUUACAAAACAAACUUAGAAUUUCAGCUUGACAAAUUAUAAAUAAAUGGAUAAAUAAAUGAUAAAUAAAUGCAGAUUCAGAGUCUUUUGAAUGUCAUUUAUGUCAUUGUAUUGAUGUUAAUUAUUAGAUACAGCAUUUUAAGGGUCUAAGAAUUAUGGGGUUUUUUUUGCAUUAGCUAUGGAAUAUUUUCCCUUUUUCUUGAGGUUGUGUUUCUUUGUUAUCAAUUAUUGCCUUUGUCUUAGAUUUUGCCAUCAUCACCCAGUAAUACCUAUUUCGAUUUUUCUCAAUGUAUAUGAAAUUGGAAGGAUUAUUGCCUUGAAAGGGUACAUAUUAAUUUGACCUGGGACUUAACACACUUUCUCAAGACAGCUAACACCUCCCAGAUUCAACUGUGUUUACUGACAAUGUGUAUAUCACUGGGGUUUUAUGAGCCUUUUUCCAAGGAAUUUCUCUCCCACCAUGUUUCCUGGCAUUCUCCUUCCUACUUUCCCCCAAUAUCCUCUACUGCCACCAACUGAGAAAUCACUUGUUGUGGCAGCCUUCUAAGAUGGCUUCCAAUGAUCCCUGCCUCUCAAUAUUCCCCAAAUUGUCUAAUCCUCUCUCCCUUUGAGUGUGGGCUGAACCUGGUGACUUGGUUUUAAUUAAAGAAUAUGACUAAAGUUAUUAGAUGUCACUUCUACAAUUAGGUUGUAAAGACUAUGACUUUUGCAUAAUGACUUCCUUGCUGGUUUUGAUGAACCAUGCUUCUGUAUUGAAGAGCCCCAUGUGGCAAAGAACUGAGAGUAGCCGCUGGCCAGUGGCCAGCAGGAACUGGAACUCUCAUCGCAAUAGCCAGUGAGGAACUGAGUCCAGCCAAUUACUAAUGUGUGCUUGGAAGUGGAUCCUGCCUCAGCUGAACCUUGGUGUGACUGUGAUACCAGAUAUCAUCUCUACUGCAAGACCCUGAAACAAAAGAUCCUGGAGGUUGUACCCAGAUUCCAAACACAGAAACUGCGAGAGAGUCAAUGUGUGGGGUUUUAAACCACUAAACUGUGGGUUUAUUUGUUGUAUCGCAAUAGACAACUAACACAACUACUAUCUGAUAGUGAACAUACGAGGUAGCUCACUAUUUUCCUUUUGUAGUGAGUAGUAAAACAGUGGGACUGGAGACCUUUACACUUUUGCCUUCAAAACAGACAGUUUCAUACCCAGGGGCAGGCUACAUGCAAAUGCCCACCAAGUCCAUGAAGAAAUGUGUGACAUCUUUAGGACCUUCUCACAAAGAUCCUGCCAUUCUUCAUGGGCAAGAGGUAUUGACUAGUGGUUACUCUUUAGGAUAGUAUUAUAAAAGUACAAUUCGUUUUUCCAUGACAGGGUUUAGCACAUAUACAGACUGGUACUAUGGAAGUAUAAAAUGGCUUUUAUUCUUGUUGCUGAUGGCAUAUUCUGAGAUAUGUCUGUUUGUUUCACAGAUUCUUUCUCCCAUCAUCACAUCAUGUCAGCAGCUCGUUGAGUUUGUAGUGGACAAUCCCACUGGAGCUUUCCAAACAAUUACAGAAAAUGAAUAUAUAUGUUGUUUAAAAAGCAUAUCUGAAUGACAAAGAAUGAAGUCUGGCAUAUGUAACAAGAAAUGAGCACAUCUUCUAAAUGGGCUCAAUGGUUUCAUUUCUGUGGCUCGCCGCGAGUUACUUCUUGUUUUCCUGAUCCGUGCCUUCCGUGUCCUCAGAAGAGAUCUUUGAAAGGUGACGGUUGCUAAAAUGUAAGCAACCGAGUAUCUUAUCAUAAAAUAAUUAAUGGUUCUAUGUUUUAGACGGUUGGUUUAAUUGUUUCAGAAUAUUUUGACAUAAGCGUGGCACUUUUUGAAGCAGAAUACAUAUUAUGACUUAUAAAUAACUGUUUUAACUAACUAAUUAAAAUUCAUUUAUUGAGUACCACCACCUCCCAACAACUAUGUUGCAAACAGAAGGGACAAAGAUUGUAGGACACAAUCUAUAGCCCUUGUUCAGAAUCUAGAAUAUUUUAAAAAUUAAUUAGUAAAUCUCUUAAUUAGUUUAUUUACUCAGGCUUUAAUAACAUUUUUACUAUGAGCAUGACCAUCUGGGCUAUCUGAUUAAAACUGGAAAAGUUGAAGACCCAUCCUUAAGUACAUGAAGAGGAAAGGGUGAGUAGGUUGGCACUGAAGUGUCAAAUUCUGAAACAACUCACAUGGACCUCUUUCUCUUUUCCCUUUCAUCGGAACUCCCUUCCAGCAAUAAUGGUGCCUGAGAAAUGAAGCUUCAAGAAGUGAAAGAAAGGGCAGCUAGUUAAUGGGAUGUUUAGUUGUUUAAACACACGAGAGGAUAAUAGAAUUCUUUUCCAAAAAGGCAAAAACUGGGGUAAGAACUGAGUAUUUGUAGUCAUUUAUUUACAUAUAUACAAUUCCAACUACAGUGAUUUCUAAGCACCAAGAAGUUCCCCUUAAAAAUUCUGUUACGUGAUGUUGAAGGAAGUACCUUUUAUUUCUGAAAUUGUACCUGAUGAAUAUUGUUAGAGAAUUUCGUCAGUGAGGCAGGCAUUCAGGUGGAAACAUUUGUGAUAGGUCCCAGGGUGCAAAAAAACUGUUCCUCGCCCUUCAAACUAUCUUAAAUUUAUCCUUCAUCAUUUAUUAUGUUGUCAGACUUAUGAAUCAUAGGGAAAAAUAAAAUACCUUAUUUGAAAAAGAAACAGGUAUUCCCUCUCUUUAAAAUAUAUCAGGUUAGCUAGCUGAAGCAUAAAUUAGGAUGGUCUACAAACUGUUAAUGGUGACAGCAAGCAUAUGGCAAAUUUGAACUGUCUGCAGGUCAACUUUUACUUUUGCUUUCCAAAUGUCUGUCAGUCAUUGUUAGGAUCUAAAUCCAUGUGUUAAUGGGUGAAAUUCAACAAUAUGAAAUCGUUCAGUAAAUUCUUGGAACAAGCAAUCUUUUUGGUCUUUGUCUGUCGUAUACAACCUUCCCGGAUAGCACACUUACAAAAUUUGGCCCAGUGACAAGAAACCCUUUGAAGAGUACUGUUGCCUUUGCUGUGUUCAGUUAGGAAAAGGAUAUAUAAUGAUACGCAGUGUGUGCGUAUGUAUGUGUGCAUAGGUGUGCGUGUGUGUGAAUGUUUCUACGCACACAUGAAUUGGGUUCUCAAAGAACCAGUAAGGUGCUCAGAUUGGUACAUUUACCAGUGUUAUGAGUGUUUCUGUUGCUGUGAUUAUACCUCUAACUAUGGCAAUAGAAAGCCAUCUUUUAAUUUCUCCCCUUCCAUCAGAGUAUCCUAAUGGCACCGAAGACCAAUGACAGUGUGACCAUAAUGUACUGUUCUGCCAGAAAUAGUAAUGAGAGGAGCAAGCAAGUGCAGCUGGGAUGAAAAAUGAAGUGGAGAUCCUAGGACAGAUAGGGAGUGGGUUACGGACAAAGGUGUGAGAAAAUAAAGGGAGGAACAGAAGAGAAGAUUUGAAAUAUGACCGUCUUAAAACUGGCAGAUCAGCAAACAUCUGAAGAGAGGAAGGCACUGAACUAAUCGACCUUUCCUGAAUGGACAUGAGAAGAUGUGUGUACCACGAGCAGCUGGAGCUGUCUUUAUUUGGAAACUUCUUCAGAACAACUCUAGUUCUGGCUCUGAAAACAAUAUGGAAUCAGAUGUUGGAAGAGAGAAAUGCUGCUUGUUUCUCCAGGGCCACAAGAAUUCUGAUCACAUGAAAACGUCACUUGUUAAAAUAAAAGCCCAAAGUUGUUCCAACUCACUUGAAACACCACAACAAAAAAUGGUCUUGACUCAAUUGAAAAGUAGAGUCGAGUCACGCCCUCAUCUUGACUCUGAGGGAUCUUCUCCUUCAGCCAUUUGAAACAGGACGGUUCCCUUUACUAUUGAUUUUCCUAUUAACAAUUCAUUUAUUUGUUUUAAGCUUUGUGCAUUUCAAAAGUAUAUAUCUCAUAAAUGGAAGCAUUGGGAUUCAAUUUUUUUAACCCUCAUUUUAUAAAUUUGAAAGGGAAAAAUCUUUAGAACAUUAUUAAAAUCUCAAACAUGUGAAAAUAACUUGAAGUGAUCCAAUCAAGAUUUCAAGAUACCAUUUUCUUUAUUUUCCGAAGAUUGAACUUCCAUCCCAUUUCCUUUGUGGACUGAGAAUGUAUCUUAGUGACGACGGUGCCCGCACAUGGUUGUCACUCAAUAAAUGUGUGUUGAACUAAACCUCAUUAUUCCCAUUGCAAUGAGGUAGAUAGCAACAGGUUUUAAUUCUAAAACUAUCACUUAAUUGCUCUUUCUUAGCUUGUUUUCCUCAUUUAAAAUCAGGAAUAAAGCUUUCUGUCUUGCA